rnacentral:rRNA from 1 species
UACGUAGGGUGCGAGCGUUGUCCGGAAUUAUUGGGCGUAAAGAGCUUGUAGGUGGUUUGUCGCGUCUGCUGUGAAAAUCCGAGGCUCAACCUCGGACUUGCAGUGGGUACGGGCAGACUAGAGUGUGGUAGGGGAGACUGGAAUUCCUGGUGUAGCGGUGAAAUGCGCAGAUAUCGAGAGGAACACCUGUGGCGAAGGCGGCCCCCUGGGCCGGCCCUGACACUGAGACGCGAAGGCGUGGGGAGCGAACGGGG